GACGAACGCUGGCGGCGUGCCUAAUACAUGCAAGUCGAGCGAAGUUUUUCUGGUGCUUGCACUAGAACAACUUAGCGGCGAACGGGUGAGUAACACGUAAAGAACCUGCCUCAUAGACUGGGACAACUAUUGGAAACGAUAGCUAAUACCGGAUAACAGUAUUUCUCGCAUGAGAGAUAUUUAAAAGUUGGUUAUGCUAACACUAUGAGAUGGCUUUGCGGUGCAUUAGCUAGUUGGUGGGGUAAAGGCCCACCAAGGCGACGAUGCAUAGCCGACCUGAGAGGGUGAUCGGCCACACUGGGACUGAGACACGGCCCAGACUCCUACGGGAGGCAGCAGUAGGGAAUCUUCCGCAAUGGGCGAAAGCCUGACGGAGCAACGCCGCGUGAGUGAAGAAGGAUUUCGGUUCGUAAAGCUCUGUUGUUAGGGAAGAAUGGAUAUGUAGUAACUAUACAUGUAAGAGACGGUACCUAACCAGAAAGCCACGGCUAACUACGUG
rnacentral:rRNA from 1 species